GAACAUUUUUUCAUAUAUUUAUUUGCCAUUUCUAAUUCUUCGUCUGUUCAUUUCAGAUGCCCAUUUUUGCAUUGGGUCUUUAAAUUUUGGGGGUCUGAUUUUUUUGAGUUCUUUAUAUAUUCUACAUAGUAGUCCUUUGUCUAGUGACUAGGUGGUAAAAAAUGUUUUUCCCAUGCUGUGGGUUCUCUCUUCACUCUGUUGGUGGUUUCUCUUGCUGUGCAGAAGCUUUGUUUUUUGGUACUGGGUAUCAAACUCUAGACCUUGCACUUGCGAGCCAGGAGGCGGAAGCACUGAGGUAAACCCCCCACCCAGUGUGGAAGCCUUUUAAUGAGAUGAGGUCCCAGUUGUUGAUUCUUUGUAGUGUUUCCCUUGCAGUCUGGGUUUUGUUCAUGAAGUCUUUGCCUACUCCUGUGUCUUCAAGUGUUCUACCUAUUCUCUCUUCCAGCAGAUUUAGUAUUACUGUUUUAACAUUUAGAUCUUUGAUCCAUUUUGAUUUUAGGUUAGUGCGUUGGUGAAAGAUACAGGUCUAGUUUCAAUUUUCAGCUUGAAGCCAGUUUUUCCAGCACUAUUUAUUAAAGAGGGUAUCUUUCUUCCAGUGAAGGUGUUUGGCUUCUUUGUUAAAGAUAAAGUGGUUGUGUCUGGAGUUGUUUCUGCAUCCUCUUUUUUUUGCUUGUUUUGAGACAGCAUCUGGAUAUGUAGUCCAGGCUGGCCUCAAACUCAUUAUGUAGCCAAGGCUGGCCUUGACCUCACAGUGAUCCUCCUACCUCAGCCUCCUGAGUGCUGGGAUUACAGCAGUGUACCACCACACCCCGCGAUUAUUAUUUCUUUUUACUUUGAGACAGGGUCUUGCUGAGUUACCCAGUCUGGCCUUGAAUUUGCAGUCUUCCUGCCUCAGCCUCCCGAAUAGCUAAGAUUACAGGCGUGCACCACCAUGUCUAGCAGUGCACUCCUCUUCAAUGGCUGCACCCUAUAGGUGGUUUCUUUUCGGGGAAGUGGGUCCCGGUUGGCGGGAAGGGCAGGUCCAUGGUGUGUGUUAACUUUCCAGCACCUAAAAAAAAAAAAAACAAAACUUUCCAGCACCGGUGGAGCUCUCAUGGCCCUUCCUUAUUUCCUGAACUAGUUUGAGAAAAACGUCCUGGAUUGCUGUAUGCUCCUGAUGGCCCAGAGCUACCUGAAGACCAUGGACAUGCGGGACCCUCUGAUGGUGGGGAGGAACAUGGGAGCCAUGGGUCCUCCGGAGAGACGCAGGCCCCCGAGACACUGAGAGGGAGUUCAGAGAUAGAAGCUCCCACAGCCGGCAGAGCUUUUACCCAGGUCCCCCUGAACAGCUCUCAGGGUGCUGCCAUGACCAGCGUGGGAAACUGAGGCACAGACAGCA
rnacentral:lncRNA from 1 species